rnacentral:rRNA from 1 species
AGCUCCAAUAGCGUAUAUUAAAGUUGUUGCAGUUAAAAAGCUCGUAGUUGGAUUUCGGGGCGGCCUGUCUGGUCCGUCGCGAGACGAGUACUGGUCAGCCGCCCUUCCUCUCGAAAGCCCCGACUGCUCUUAACUGCAGUGGUCGGGUAGUUCGGGACGUUUACUUUGAAAAAAUUAGAGUGUUCAAAGCAGGCUUCAUCAAGCCCGGAUACAUGAGCAUGGAAUAAUGGAAUAGGACCGCGGUUCUAUUUUGUUGGUUUCUACGACCGCAGUAAUGAUUAAGAGGGACAAUUGGGGGCGUCCGUAUUUCGUUGUCAGAGGUGAAAUUCUUGGAUUUACGAAAGACGAACAACUGCGAAAGCAUUCGCCAAGAGUGUUUUCAUUAAUCAAGAACGAAAGU